UUAACAAAAUUUACACUAAAUCGUCUUACACGAAAUUGGGGGAGCUAGUUAUUAUAUAUUUAUAGAUUUUAAAGUGUUGCAUAACUUAAUGUAAUAAUAAUUAGGAGUGAUAGGCUUAUCACACUCAAUGAUAACUUGAAAGUCUUGAAAUGUAUUAGUACGUAAACAUCCUUUGAGUAAUAUGGCUUAAAGAUUAUAACAAAUGUUUAUAUUUAUUUAAAUAUAUAGUUUAAUCACUAAUAUUUUAUAAUAUUACUAUUAAUUUAUUAUUUUUGUUUAAUUUAAAGACCACAUGACUAAAUAUAUUCUCUUAAAUAUAAUGUUAAUAUAAGUACUUACAAAAUGUUAUUAAUGAACUCGGCAAUAGGCCUUUCAACUGUUUAUCAAAAACAUAGCUAUUUGUAUAUAUAUAUAGUUUUUUCUGCUCAAUGAAACUUAAAUAGCCGCAGUACCUUGACUGUGCAAAGGUAGCGCAAUAAAUUGACUUUUAAAUGGAGUCGUGAAUGAAAGAAAUCAUGGGGGGUCCCUCUCUCAAUAACAUUAUAUUAAAUUAAUAAUAAAGUGAAAAUGCUUUAGUUUAAAUAUAAGACGAGAAGACCCUAGAAAUUUUAAAGAUCGAUGCUUUUUGUUGGGGCAACAAUGUAGCACCUAUAACCUACAUAUAAUUACACGAAAUAAAUAAUUUGAUUGAGCAAAUUACUCUAGGGAUAACAGCAUAAUUUUGUAAAGUUUGUGACCUCGAUGUUGGAUUAGGGAAUCUGUGUUUAGAAG
rnacentral:rRNA from 1 species